UAGGGAAUCUUCGGCAAUGGGGGGCAACCCUGACCGAGCAACGCCGCGUGAGUGAAGAAGGUUUUCGGAUCGUAAAGCUCUGUUGUAAGAGAAGAACGUGUGUGAGAGUGGAAAGUUCACACAGUGACGGCAACUUACCAGAAAGGGACGGCUAACUACGUGCCAC
rnacentral:rRNA from 1 species